rnacentral:tmRNA from 1 species
GGGGCUGAUCGGUUUCGACGUUGGGACCGGAAGCUGAGACGUGCGACCGGAGUUGCUCAGACUCCUUAAACGGGGCACUCAACGAGAUGCCGAUGAGGAUCUCGCUCUCGCUGCCUGACCUAGUCAAGUAGCCGAGAGUCAUCGCGACCGGUAACGGUUGGCGGGGCCAGUCCACUGCAGCCCGGCAACAGAAGCAGUGGAGGACCGCAGGGAGAGACCGCUGACCGCGUGAAAGAACGCUGACCGCGAGGAAAGACUCGCCGGCUGGCCGCAAGGCCCUCCGACCCGGCGGUGAGGCUGCCGUGAGCCUCGAAUCGGGAAUGGUCGUAUCGCGUGCAGUGACCGCCUGACGGACGAGGGUUCGAUUCCCUCCAGCUCCACGC